GAUGAACGCUGGCGGCGUGCCUAACACAUGCAAGUCGAGCGAUUCUCUUCGGAGAAGAGCGGCGGACGGGUGAGUAACGCGUGGGUAACCUGCCCUGUACACACGGAUAACAUACCGAAAGGUAUGCUAAUACGAGAUAAUAUGCUUUUAUCGCAUGGUAGAAGUAUCAAAGCUCCGGCGGUACAGGAUGGACCCGCGUCUGAUUAGCUAGUUGGUAAGGUAACGGCUUACCAAGGCGACGAUCAGUAGCCGACCUGAGAGGGUGAUCGGCCACAUUGGAACUGAGACACGGGUCCAAACUCCUACGGGAGGCAGCAGUGAGGAAUAUUGGUCAAUGGGCGCAGGGCCUGAACCAGCCAAGUAGCGUGAAGGAUGACUGCCCUAUGGGUU
rnacentral:rRNA from 1 species